rnacentral:rRNA from 1 species
GACGAACGCUGGCGGCGUGCUUAACACAUGCAAGUCGAACGGAAAGGCCCUGCUUUUGUGGGGUGCUCGAGUGGCGAACGGGUGAGUAACACGUGAGUAACCUGCCCUUGACUUUGGGAUAACUUCAGGAAACUGGGGCUAAUACCGGAUAGGAGCUCCUGCUGCAUGGUGGGGGUUGGAAAGUUUCGGCGGUUUGGGAUGGACUCGUGGCUUAUCAGCUUGUUGGUGGGGUAGUGGCUUACCAAGGCUUUGACGGGUAGCCGGACUGAGAGGGUGACCGGCCACAGUGUGACUGAGAUACGGGCCGGAGGGAUACGGGGGGCAGCGGUGGAAAAUAUUGCACGAUAGGCGGAAGGCGUGAGCAGGGACGCCGCGUGCUGGAUGACUGUCUUCAGGUUAUAACCCGCUUGCGCCUGGGACGAAGCGUGUGUGACGGUAAUGUGUCAAGAAGCACCGGCUAACUACGUG